GGGGCGGUGGCUCAAGGGUAGAGCGCUCGGCUAGCAUGUGGGAGGCCCUGGGUUCGAUCCCCUGUUGUUUUG
rnacentral:tRNA from 1 species